rnacentral:rRNA from 1 species
UACGGAGGGGGCGAGCGUUAUUCGGAAUUAUUGGGCGUAAAGGGCGCGUAGGCGGCUUUCUAAGUCAAAGGUGAAAUCCCUCGGCUCAACUGAGGAACUGCCUUUGAAACUGGAAAGCUUGAGGCCGGGAGGGGGUAGCGGAAUUCCCAGUGUAGCGGUGAAAUGCGUAGAUAUUGGGAGGAACACCAGUGGCGAAGGCGGCUACCUGGACCGGUACUGACGCUGAUGCGCGAAAGCGUGGGGAGCAAACAGG